CUGGAAAGUUCUGGUCUCUUGUACUCAGAAGGAUUCUGGUUUUCUGGAUUUACUUAGGAAGAACUUAAGAUCUUGGGUGUCACUCCAGCACCCUCUUUCG